rnacentral:rRNA from 1 species
UACGGGGGGGGCAAGCGUUGUUCGGAAUUACUGGGCGUAAAGGGCGCGUAGGCGGUCUUGUAAGUCUUGUGUGAAAUCCCUCGGCUUAACUGAGGAACUGCACGAGAUACUGCGAGACUUGAGUUCGGGAGAGGAAAGCGGAAUUCCGGGUGUAGCGGUGAAAUGCGUAGAUAUCCGGAGGAACACCGGUGGCGAAGGCGGCUUUCUGGACCGACACUGACGCUGAGGCGCGAAAGCUAGGGGAGCAAACGGG